AUGAAUUUGAGGUUCGGAAAAGGAGAAGAAGGAGGAGGUAAUAAAUUGAUCAACGAUUUCAUCAGGCACAUUCGUGCACUUCCUCCUCAACAAGAGUCAUUCAAGGAAAUGAUAAAGAAGUUUGCUGGCAAAUGUAUUUGGAAACAACCUCAAAAAACGUGGGGAAAUAAAGAAACAGAAGAGCAUCAGCCUGUCCAUCUCCUUGGACUUCUACAUACCGAUCACAUCAACAAAGAAGCCUGCAGCCAUUGCUCUACAAGAAGCUGUGACUGGUACUCAUACCGUUCUUCCAAGGACCUUAGAAAAGUGGGGAUUCGCUUCAGGCCAAACUGGACUAACGCUUACUCAGAUGUGGAGUUCAAAUCAUCAGUCCGUGGUAGCAGACUAAUACUUCCGCCAAUAACCAUAGAAGAGUCAUUCAAGUCCGUGCUCUUAAACUUGAUAGCCUAUGAAACAUGCUGUGAUGCAUCUGGUGAACUUUGGGUCACUUCUUACGCAUGCUUCCUGGAUUCGUUGAUUCAAGAUGUCGAAGACGUGAAGGUGCUGCAAUCAGAGGGUGUUCUCAAUAUAUUUGUUCGUGAACAGGAGGUCGCUGAUCUGUUCAAUCAGAUGUCUCGAAACCUGGUACCCAACCCUUACGCUUAUAGUGAUGUUAAAAGGCGAAUUGAACUGGACCGCAAGAGCAUCAUCAAGAAAUGGGUAGCUGAGUGGAUGCAUACCUAUUUUAGCAGUCCUUGGAGCUUUAUUGCACUUGUUGCUGCAACUUUUACCAUUGUAUUAACUGGCAUUCAGAGCUAUUUCGCUAUAUUCCCUCUCAAUAACAAUGGUUGUUGUGGCUAAGUGUUAAUCUCCAUCAAGUGAUUCAAGCACUUGACAUCCUAAACAUCAACUGUGCCUCUGUGUGUAUCUUUCUCCCUAUGACAGUCUGAAUUAUUAACUUGGCGUUUUGUAUGUUUGUUCUUCAUUUCAUCUCUUUGUAAAAUAAACUCCCUUUUCAAAAGGAGCAGUAUUGAUUAUAUAUACAAGCUGCAAUGUUGGUUGUAAGAUGAUAUUCUGGCGUCUUUCAUUGGAAUGUUGAUCUUGCACGUUCUUCAUAUGUAUGAUCGAUGAUAAAUCAUAACAGUUGCAGGAAGCCAUCACUAGUUUUUUGGAUAAAUUAGGAUUAUAUGACUUGCUUUUCUACCUUUUGUCUGUUUAUAAAUUUGGAUAAUUUAGCCCACUCAUUCAACCUUAAGGAAACGUGGCUCACUUUAACUGGCUGGCGAAAAUGCAAAUGGUGGAUCCUAAUACGAGGACCAAACCCAAGUGACACGUGACGCACAAAACAUGGCCUCGCUGUCACGCCACAUAUUGUGAAUUGAUAGAAACUGGGCUGAUCCAGUUCUUACAAAAUAACUGAAAGAACACUUUACCCAAGUGACACGUGAGGCACAAAACAUGGCCUCGCUGUCACGCCACAUAUUGUGAAUUAAUAGAAACUGGGCUGAUCCAGUUCUUACAAAAUAACUGAAAGAACACUUUAUAUAUAUAUAUAUAUAUAUAGAAAAAGACCCAUAUAGUUAUACUACAUAACAACUAGAAAAGAUGGAGAAAUUGUAAGAUAAGAUUUAAAGAGAAGGAAUUGUAGAAAAAAGGGACAGUAGCGUGAAAGGAGAAGGAAGUGGAAACUUUGUGAUUGUUGGCACUGCAUGCACUUUGUGACAGUAGCGUAAAGUUGCAAUUUACAGCCUCUCCUACAAUGUCCCAAGCUUUCUUUAUGAAAAAGAUAUUGAUGGCAUCAUGACCAGGUGCCUUAUUACCAACUAGGAGACUUAACUUCUUCCACUGUGAAAGAAACUUCCAGAUCAGAUGAAGAAGAAAGUAAUAAUUUCUGAAAUUCCAAACUCGAUCAGGAUGGUCCUAUACCUUUUAUCCAGGGAGUAGAGCUUGUAAAACAUGACAGAAAGCUUGGACAUAUACUUUCCAUCCACUUUCAAGGAGAAAAUAAAAUUCCUUUUUCAUCAUUGCAGUGGUAGUUAUGUGGAAGAAUCUAGUGUUUUUGUCUCCAAGUUUACACUACUCUUGAUUUCUGAUGCGAAAUCGAUUCCUGCAUUCGGUACACAAUUCCAAGUUCAUUAACACCCAGUCUGCUUCUUGCCAAUUCUUUUGAUGAUAACUCUCUGCUUUCUUUAUAACCCUCAAAGGAUUCAGAUUCGAGCUCUAAGGCUUUGAUCUUCCCAUCAAUGUUACCCAUUGAAUCACUGUUCCACAAUUUAAUAGAUUCUUUUAAAGCCUUUAUAUAUAGUCUUCACAAUCUUUCCUUCACUAGAUGCACUACCAGAAAAUCAAUAAAUACAAACGGAAAUACCGAGAAAAUAUUUCCGUCAGUAAAUUGCCUAGAUAUUUUCGUCGGUAAAUUGCCUAGAGAUUUUACCGACGGAAAUAUUCUCUCGGUAUAUACCGAGGGAAUUACAGUGAAAAAAAAAUUAAAACAAAGCAAAAAAAAAUGAUGAUGUGUCAUUUUUACCAACGGAAUUACCGACGGAAUAAAUCCGUCGGUAAAUCCGUUGGUAAACUGUGAACAUUGUUCAUCAUGUCAAUUAUAAAGGGAAUCACCGACGGAAUUUUUCGUCGGUAUUUUCCAGAGAGCUCCAGAACUGUUCACUUUUCAAUUGCACGAACAAAAUCACCGACGGAUUGAAAAGUCAUCAGUGUUAUUUGAUGGUUUUCUGAAAAAAUUCAAUUGAUUUAAAUUUUUCAUUUAAAUAUUAUAGACGGAAUCACCGACGGAUUGAAAAAUCGUCGGUAAUUGUUGGCAGUUUCUGAAAACUUUUUACAAAAUUAAAAAUUUAAAUUAAAUAAUUACCGACGGAAUUACCCACGGAAUAAUUAAAAAAUAUUAAUAUUCAAUUAUCCGUCGGUAAAUCCGUCGCUAACCCGCCCCAAUAAAAAGCCUGAAUCCCCUUAUUUCACAAGAGAGAGACUCAUUUCUUAUUCUUCUUCUUCUUCUACUUCUUCUUUCAAUGUAAGUAAAAAACAUCAAUAUCUAUUUAUUUCUCUUCUUUUCUCUCCUCAUCUCCUUCUCUUUUCCUCCAUGCUCGAGUAUGUCUUCUUCUUCUUUUUUCUUUUAUCCUCUUUUUUUUUUUAAUUAAUAUGCUUUACGAAAUUUUUUUUCUCUCCUUAGCUUCACUUGCAACUACAUUAAGGUAAGGUUUUUUUUUCUUUUUUUUUUCAUGAUUUUUUUCACUAUAUUUGUUUUUUAUUUUAUUUUUAAUUGUUUUUAUUCUUAAUAAUUAUAUAAAUGUUGUUGUGAGAUUUGUUUUUCAUAUGAGAUCAAUUUUUAGUUGAUAUAUUUAUAGGAUUUUUAAAUUUUUUGCAAUUGCAACUUCAUUUUUUUCAUAUGAAUUUUUUUAGUUGAAUAUAUUUUUUCGUUUUAUUUAUUUGUUGCAAAUUUGUUUGAGUUGAUUUUCUUAUUCUUUUUCCAAGCAUUUUUAGUAUAUAUUAUACAGUGUUGAUUUAUGUUAAUUUAACUAUUUUAUAAUUUUAUAAAAUGAACUUUUUUUUAAAUGUUUUUAAAUAAUUACCGAUGGAUAUACCGACGGAAUUUCCGUUGGUAAUAAAAAAAUAUUAUUACUGAGGGAUAUACCAACGAAAUGAAGUGGAUAAUUUUAUUUUUUUAUUACCAACGAAUUUAUCGACGGACAAAAAAUUACCGAUGAAAGAUUCAUCGAUGAAAAUGCUCCGUUGGUAAUUAAUUUAACGAUGGAAUAUGUGUCUUACAUUAACAAAAAAAUUUUAUCGAUAAAACUGUUAAAUUUUAUAGUGAUGUAAAGGACAUGAAUGAGACCCAUAAAUCUUGAACGACCUUCCUAAACUCUGAUCUCAACCAUCAAUAGGUCAGGAAUCUGAAGGGUUUCGGUCCCUAAUUUGUUGAAUCUCUCAUCAGGUUGAUAGGUCUAUGGUUUGAAAAAGAGUAUUUGGGCAAUCCCAUAUAAAAUAGAGGAGGGAAACACAAUAAGCCAAUACGUAGAAAAACAAAUUAAAUUUAAUGGUAGUUUUGUAUUUUCAGUUGGUUUUUUUUUUUUGUUAUAUUAUGUUGGUUGAGGGGCAAAUUAAUUUCUUACAAUAAUUAAAAAAUAUAUAAAAAAUCCUUGUCAGGCGCAAGGUAGAAGCCUCGGCACUUCGAUGACACGUGCAUUAUCAUAUGACAGUUAAAAAAAUGUUUUGAUCGUGUCAUUCAUUUCAUCAUGCCGUCCUCUCUCUCACCAGACAACACGUGUUGGGUUUUGAUGGAGAAUCAAAGCAAUUUUAUUGAUUGAGUUAUUUUAUUGAUUUAUUAGUUUUUUUCUUUAUUUUUAUAAAUAUUAUAUAUAUUUUUUAAUUACAUCAUUUAAUCUAGGUUUUUUUUUUAAAAAAAUUUGAUCUUAAUUCUUUAUGUUUUUUUAUAUUUUCCUUGUUUCUUUUGUAAAUUUUCAAUUAUUUGUAAUUUUAUCAUUUAAUAAUUAUUUUUAUUAUAUUAAUUUUUUCAAAUUUGAUCUUUAUUUUUUUGAUGGUGUCUUCUUUAGUUCUUUUUGUGAAAUUGAUUUUUAUUUUUAAUUUAGCCUUUCAACAAAAAUAAUAAUUCAUCUUCUAUUUUUUUUUCAAAUCUGGUCUCCAUCCUUUUAAUUGCUAUUGUAUCUUUUAAAACUUUUUUUAAUAAUUUUUUUUUCAUUUUCAUCUCUUGAUAUUUGAUUUAUUAAAAUUUAAAUUUCAUGAUUUUUUCAGGUUUGAUGCUUCUAAUCAAAUGACCUGGGUUUUAGGUUCACAUUAUUUCUUUUAAUCUUAUUUUCUUUUUUGAUCUCAUUAUAUGACUUUGAUUUUUUGUUUUAGAAUAGGCUGUAUGGAAUUCUUCAUCUUUUUUUAUGCGGUUGUUCCAAUUUCAUUACCUGAACUGUGUAUUUGGUAAGUUAACCUAAGUGGUAUUGCAUUUUUUUUUCAUAUUUUUUUGUAUGAUUUAAUUUUUAUUGUUAUUUUAUCCUUCAAUAUUUGAUUUGUUAAUGAUUAAUUUUCAUGGUUUUUUCAUGUUUAGUGUUUCUCAUCAAAAGGCAUGGGACAUGAAUUUAUGAGUUGACACGAGUACUUGAUAUAAUUUUUUUUCUUUGAUAAUUGUUUUUUCAUUUAAUAUUUUUUUUUAAAUGCGCUUGUUGAAUAUAAUUUUUUUUCUCAUAUUUUUCUUUCCUUCAACCUGGGGCAAAGAGCAGGACAUAUUAUAAAAUGGGUAAAAUUAUCAAAGUGGAACAUACCACCGCCAAAAAUAGAGGUCAUGAUUGGCAUAUGAGGUAGCGAAGCGACAGUGGUAUUUUCCGUAAAGCAAGCUUGGACUAUCUUAUCACUUUAUAUUUGGCAAUCCAGCUGGAAGUGACGGUAAAAGUGAAGUGACUAAAAAUAUGGGGAAACUUUGACCUUUUUGUUUUGGCAGUCAAAAUCAUCUACUUUAUUUAUAAUUAUUAUCUUUUCCUGCAUUGUUUUCACUCUAUUUGUUUCUAAAGUGAACAAAUUGCUGAUAACUUCCUUAUUUUCAGUCAACGAUUACUAUUAUGAGACAAAUCUGUCUCAAGUACAUAACUUUCACCUCAUGAAGUUAGCUCUUGAAUUUUGUCAUAUUAACAGAAUCAUUUAUAUCCCUUUCUCAAGUUUCAUCUCACUCUUUCUUCAAAACGAGAUCUCAUGCUUUAGUUAAAGUACAGUAAUAAAAAUCCCGCAUGCCCCAUUGCCAAGCAAGGUAAGAUUCUUCUUCCCAUCUAAAUUUGUUUAGUACUGUAAAUGGAUACAUGUUAACUUUACUCUGAGUGAACCGGUAAAAAGGCCCUUCUUUUGUCGAGAAUUCUGUAGUCUGUACUAAUAAUGGCUGAAGAACUAAAAAUUUCAAUCCCACAGGAGGCAAACUCACAUUUCUCAGGUGGACCUCCUGAGUGGCUAGCAUUCAUCGUCACUGAAGGGCAGAUCAAGACUGUUAACAACCAAAUGCAAGCGCCACAGAUUCCAAAGGUUCCACGUUUGCUUCGACAGAUUCAAUCAAACCAGAAAUGUUAUGACCCCUCUCUGGUCUCCAUUGGUCCUUAUCACCACGGAAAUCCUGAACUCAGGGAUAUGGAGAAGCUCAAGGUUACAUUUACGCGCAAGUUCGUUGAUGAUAGUGGAAUAUGCAUUGAAGACUUUUACUGCAAGGUGGCAGAGGUGGCAAUUGACGCUAGAAGAUGCUAUGCUGAGGAUUCGACAGAUGAGUUUGAUGAUGAGAAAUUCACUCAGAUAAUGUUUCUUGAUGGUUGCUUCAUUCUCCAGUUUAUUUUCUUCCUCUUGCGCAGGCCGGAAGAUCUAAAGAUGCCUGGUCAUCAGGUAGUUCUGGUUAAAAGGGACUUGUUAUUGCUAGAGAACCAACUCCCUUUCCAAGUCAUCUGGUCAUUGAUGAAUUUGAGGUUCGGAAAAGGGGAAGGAGGAGGACGUAAUAAAUUGAUCAAUGAUUUCAUCAGGCACAUUCGUGCACUUCCUCCUCGAAAAGAGUCAAUCAAGGAGAUGAUAAAGAAGUUUGCUGGCAAAUGUAUUUGGAAACAACCUAAAAAAACGUGGGGAAAUAAAGAAACAGAAGAUCACCAGCCUGUCCAUCUCCUUGGACUUCUACAUACCGAUCACAUCAACAAAGAAGCCUGCAGCCAUUGCUCUACAAGAAGCAGUGACUGGUACUCAUACCG
rnacentral:lncRNA from 1 species